rnacentral:misc_RNA from 1 species
GUACAAUAAUUUUUUUUUUUUAUCUUUCUUUUCAUUUAGUUUUCCAUCAUUUAUUUCAUUCAAAUUAAAAAAAUUAAUUUAUUUAUAUUUAUAUAAAUAAAUUAAAUUGGUGGUCGCAAUUUUUAUACAAAUUUUAGGAGGAUCAAUUUAAUUAAAUAUACAUUUAUAUACAUUUAUUUUUAAUUAAUGUGUUUAUUUUAUUUUAUAAGCAAUAUGUUUAUUUUAUUGUUUUAUUAUGUUUUUUAAUCUUAUACUAUUAUGUUAUAUAGUUAGCAACUGGUGUUUAGCAUUAGUAGUUCGGGUGUUCAAUACUCAUUGUUGGUACCAGUAGUAUUAUCACAUGAUUAAUAUAAAUAAUCACUUGCAUGUUUUUGAAGGCCUGCAAAUCGAGAGGGAUU